CGUUGCAUGAACAUGCAAGUCAACGGACGAUCGGGGUUCGCUCUGAUCGUUAGUGGCGGACGGCUGAGUAACGCGUAGGUGACCUUGCCCCGAAGUGGGGAAUAACUUGCCCGAAAGGGUGGCUAAUACCGCAUGUGGUGGUGCGUUCGAUCGCACCAGUAAAGCCGCAAGGCGCUUCGGGAGGGGCCCGCGUCCGAUUAGCUCGUUGGUGGGUAACGGCUCACCAAGGCGACGAUCGGUAGGUGGUCUGAGAGGACGAUCACCCAGACUGGGACUGAGACACGGCCCAGACUCCUACGGGAGGCAGCAGUCGGGAAUUUUGCGCAAUGGACGAAAGUCUGACGCAGCAACGCCGCGUGAGGGAUGAAGGCCUUCGGGUUGUAAACCUCUUUUGUCAGGGAAGAUAAUGACGGUACCUGGCGAAUAAGUCACGGCUAACUACGUGCCAGCAGCCGCGGUAAUACGUAGGUGACAAGCGUAGUCCGGAUUUAC
rnacentral:rRNA from 1 species